rnacentral:rRNA from 1 species
ACAGAGGGUGCAAACGUUGUUCGGAAUUACUGGGCGUAAAGCGCGUGUAGGCGGCUGCGUAAGUCGGGCGUGAAAUCCCACGGCUCAACUGUGGAAGAGCACUCGAAACUGCGUAGCUAGAGUCCUGGAGAGGAAGGUGGAAUACUUGGUGUAGAGGUGAAAUUCGUAGAUAUCAAGUGGAACACCAGUGGCGAAGGCGGCCUUCUGGACAGUGACUGACGCUGAGACGCGAAAGCGUGGGGAGCAAACAGGA